UCGAGAAUAGUCUACAAUGGACGGAAGUCUGAUAGUGCGACGCCGCGUGAACGAAGAAUCCCUUCGGGGUGUAAAGUUCUUUUAUACGUGAGCAGUGCCCUUUAUAUGAAUAGUAUAGAGGGAGGGAUUUAAGCGUAUGAAUAAGCAACGGCUAACUCCGUGCCAGCAGCCGCGGUAACACGGGGGUUGCAAGCGUUGUCCGGAAUUACUAGGCGUAAAGUGCAGGUAGGCGGAUAGAUAAGUUUAAGGUUAAAGGCUACGGCUUACCCGUAGUAAGGCGUUAGAUACUGUUUAUCUGGAAUGCGGCUGAGGGAGACAGAAUUCCUGGUGUAGCGGUGGAAUGCGCAGAGAUCAGGAGGAAUACCGAAGGCGAAGGCAGUCUUCUAAGCCGAUAUUGACG
rnacentral:rRNA from 1 species